rnacentral:misc_RNA from 1 species
GCAAGAUGAUAUUUUUGAUUCAAUUAGAUCUGCAGGGCACAUUAACAAAGAAAAUAGAUUUCUUGAAGUGGUCAUUAUUUCUGAGUAAGAUACUAAACAAAGUACAACCAACUACUAGAAGAAACCAAAAAAGUUAUACUAAUAUCUAACCAUUAAUUUAUCUUGGGGAUUUUUUGGUCCUUCUAAAGAGGUUUGUUCCUCUUAUGUGUAGCUUUUCCAGUAGAAUCCCCUUCAGAUGAAGCAUCUACGGAUUUUGUAAAUGAACAUGAAAGAUCUGCAUAAAGGUCAACAACCCUUCUGAUAUUAUUGUUUAACUCUCUGAUUAAACCAACAUUUCUGCUCAAGUUAUCAGGGAUCUUUGACUCAUGAUUCUGAUUUAUCUCAUUGAUUAACAAUCUAUUCUGAUCCAAUAGGUUCUGCACUUGUACAAAGCUCUUUUGAAAUGUUUGAAAUACCUUACCAUCUAUUUGUGUACCAUUAUUACCUAACACUGAAAAUGUAUCUCCUUCCAUUAUUUUGUUGCUAAACACAAUUCUCCUUUUUUCAAUUCAAACAGGACCUUGAAAAAACGAGAACAUUAUAGAUGGAGAUGAGAGGCAGUAGACAUAGAUUGGAAAAGCCGAAAUGAUCGGCGAUUGAAUCGAAUCUCCCAAAAGAGAGAGAGAGAAUAUGUAGAUU